GAGUUUGAUCGUGGCUCAGGACGAACGCUGGCGGCGUGCCUAAUACAUGCAAGUCGAGCGAGCAGAACCAGCAGAUUUACUUCGGUAAUGACGCUGGGGACGCGAGCGGCGGAUGGGUGAGUAACACGUGGGGAACCUGCCCCAUAGUCUGGGAUACCACUUGGAAACAGGUGCUAAUACCGGAUAAGAAAGCAGAUCGCAUGAUCAGCUUAUAAAAGGCGGCGUAAGCUGUCGCUAUGGGAU
rnacentral:rRNA from 1 species